rnacentral:rRNA from 1 species
UACGAAGGGGGCUAGCGUUGUUCGGAUUUAUUGGGCGUAAAGAGCGUGUAGGCGGCCAGGUAGGUCUGCUGUGAAAACUCGAGGCUCAACCUCGAGACGUCGGCGGAAACCAUCUGGCUAGAGUCCGGAAGAGGAGAGUGGAAUUCCUGGUGUAGCGGUGAAAUGCGCAGAUAUCAGGAAGAACACCAAUGGCGAAAGCAGCUCUCUGGGACGGUACUGACGCUGAGACGCGAAAGCGUGGGGAGCGAACAGG